rnacentral:rRNA from 1 species
UACGUAGGGGGGCUAGCGUUGUCCGGAAUCAUUGGGCGUAAAGCGCGUGUAGGCGGCCCGGUAAGUCCGCUGUGAAAGUCGGGGGCUCAACCCUCGGAAGCCGGUGGAUACUGUCGGGCUGGAGUACGGAAGAGGCGAGUGGAAUUCCUGGUGUAGCGGUGAAAUGCGCAGAUAUCAGGAGGAACACCUAUUGCGAAGGCAGCUCGCUGGGACGUUACUGACGCUGAGACGCGAAAGCGUGGGGAGCAAACAGG